rnacentral:rRNA from 1 species
CCCUUAGAUGUUCGGGGCCGCACGCGCGCUACACUGAAGGACUCAGCGUGUCUCUCCCCCUAUCCCGAAAGGGAUGGGCAACCCGCUGAACCUCCUUCGUGCUAGGGAUUGGGGUUUGCAAUUAUCCCCCAUGAACGAGGAAUUCCCAGUAAGCGCGAGUCAUCAGCUCGCGUUGAUUACGUCCCUGCCCUUUGUACACACCGCCCGUCGCUACUACCGAUUGGAUGGUUUAGUGAGACCCUCGGAUCGGUCCCGACUCGGGGUGGGCUUCUGCCCCGGUCGUGGUUUCGCCGAGAAGACGGUCAAACUUGACUAUCUAGAGGAAGUAAAAGUCGUAACA